GGGGGUGUUUUCAGAUUCGCCCGGCGGCAAAGAAGGUUUGGUAAGCGUGCCGCAGUGCCCACUGCGUAUCAAGGCAAAACAAAUUAAACGCUAACAAUAGCACAAGCCGUUCCUACGGAAUGGCAUACGCUGCCUAAUUUAACCGCAGCGCGCAGUCCCACGUUACGUUGUGCGGCGUGGUGAACUGUGUCAGACAGUACAACUAAGGCAACACCGUUCGGCAAAGCGGCGUAGCCCGAAAUUUAUUUGCCUUUGGCUGCGUUCGGUUGGUUUGCUUUCCACGCGCGGCGACAGUUAAAAGCAAACUUUGCACGGAGAAAGCCAAAUGGUCUUACGUCGGUACGCGGGUGCAAGUCCCGUCACCUCCACCA
rnacentral:tmRNA from 1 species